AGGCUGGGCUCCUGCUUGCAGAGGCUGGACGUCCAAACCCUUCCCCUAAUGCAGAGAUGACUCAGAACAACUGACAUGAAGGCAGAGUGAGGCCAGGACACAGUCAGGCCAAACGCCCCCAAUCCACGCCAGGGGAGACUGUGCCCAGGGCUGCGGCACACACGGCCUGAAGCCGGCUGCAGGGAGUGGGCUUGGCCAGCCGCUGGCUACAGCGGGAACUGUCCAGCCUGUGGCCAGGGAGCAGCUGAGGGAGGCAGGAUGGCAGGAAGUGGCCGGGCAGCUCAGGCCACCUGCCACAGGUGGUCGUGGAAAGAGAGUCCCUCAAACUGAGCUUGCAAACUGAAGUCGUAAACUAACCUGAGAAAGGCAAGUACAAAUAACAGGAAUCUCAAAAUAAACAAGCUGGAGAUCUUAAAAGAGAUGAAAGAAGUCCUGACUGUCACACAGUCCCUGGUCUGACUGAGCGGCCAGGCAGGAGGAACACCCGUGCUGAGAGGCCACCCCACAGGAUCUGGGCUUGUGUUACCCACAAGUUCAAGGAGCAGAGGAUGACUGUCCGCUCGGCAAAUGCUCACUGGCACUGCUGUGUCUGCAGCAGGCUGGGCAUGGCUGGGGCUCUGGGACUCUGGGACUGCAAGGUCCAGUGUGAUGGGUUCUGAAGCCGGCACCGCAGAGCCACCCGACACCAGCCUCCUGGGUGUUGGGACUGGCGCUAGACCUGGGAAUCACUCAGCACCGGCCCGGCACACAGCAGAUGCUCCGUGAACUCAGCCUCGCUCCCAGGGACACGCCCCCCACACCCACCGUGCUUGCCUGAGCCAGGAGCCCCACGCCCAGGCCCCGCCCGCGCCUCCUACCAGCUCUCGGCUCCACCGUCUUGUUGGCACCCUCCUCCAUGAACAUGAACCGCCCUCCGCCGAAGUCCUCCAGAGUCUCCAGCCUCAUGCAUUGUUGCCCAGGAUUUCCUGUAAGCUCAGAUGUUGGAGCAGCCGUGUUCCAGCAAAGGCUACGGGCAGCAGGCCAGCCAGCAGGGUGUGCAUGCUGGGAUGGUCCCCCGGUGCCAGCCUCGCUGCCCACACGUGGGAACCAGAGGCAGCGGUGGACGCGCUUUUCUCCUUUCUUCAGAAGUGGAGCAAUCCCAAGCUUUUUAAAACUUGUAAUAAAAUGCAGAACCUAAGAUUUUCCAGC
rnacentral:lncRNA from 10 species